UCACACAUUAUCAAUUCAUUUUCAUCAAUUUUGCAAAUUCUCAAAUUCCCAAGUUCAAGCCGACGGUAGAAUUUUACAAAAUGUUUGCCAAAUAUUUCUUGAUUGCUGUUCUCCUCGUUGUUGGGAUCCAAGCAAUGUCCAUGAAUCCAGAGGAGAAGCUUUUCUUUUCCAAUAUCCCAAUUUCUAACAACCAAACUUUCAACCUUGUUCCGUUAUCGUGCACGCUUUUCGGCGUUCUCUGCCCCCUCGGAUACACCGGACCAAGAGGCGGUUAGACUUUACCGGAUAUCAAAAACCCAUCAAUUUCAAAAAUUUGAUGUUAAAUUCGGUUAAGCUUUAAAACACUUAAUUACCACACUUGGUGCUUGAUUGGAAUAAAUUAAAUUCACAUAUUGAAAUUGAAA